rnacentral:rRNA from 1 species
GACGAACGCUGGCGGCGUGCUUAACACAUGCAAGUCGAACGGAAAGGCCCUGCUUUUGUGGGGUGCUCGAGUGGCGAACGGGUGAGUAACACGUGAGUAACCUGCCCUUGACUUUGGGAUAACUUCAGGAAACUGGGGCUAAUACCGGAUAGGAGCUCCUGCUGCAUGGUGGGGUUGGAAAGUUUCGGCGGUUGGGGAUGGACUCGCGGCUUAUCAGCUUGUUGGUGGGGUAGUGGCUUACCAAGGCUUUGACGGGUAGCCGGCCUGAGAGGGUGACCGGCCACAUUGGGACUGAGAUACGGCCCAGACUCCUACGGGAGGCAGCAGUGGGGAAUAUUGCACAAUGGGCGGAAGCCUGAUGCAGCAACGCCGCGUGCGGGAUGACGGCCUUCGGGUUGUAAACCGCUUUCGCCUGUGACGAAGCGUGAGUGACGGUAAUGGGUAAAGAAGCACCGGCUAACUACGUGCCAGCAGCCGCGGUGAUACGUAGGGUGCGAGCGUUGUCCGGAUUUAUUGGGCGUAAAGGGCUCGUAGGUGGUUGAUCGCGUCGGAAGUGUAAUCUUGGGGCUUAACCCUGAGCGUGCUUUCGAUACGGGUUGACUUGAGGAAGGUAGGGGAGAAUGGAAUUCCUGGUGGAGCGGUGGAAUGCGCAGAUAUCAGGAGGAACACCAGUGGCGAAGGCGGUUCUCUGGGCCUUUCCUGACGCUGAGGAGCGAAAGCGUGGGGAGCGAACAGGCUUAGAUACCCUGGUAGUCCACGCUGUAAACGGUGGGUACUAGGUGUGGGGUCCAUUCCACGGGUUCCGUGCCGUAGCUAACGCUUUAAGUACCCCGCCUGGGGAGUACGGCCGCAAGGCUAAAACUCAAAGGAAUUGACGGGGCCCCGCACAAGCGGCGGAGCAUGCGGAUUAAUUCGAUGCAACGCGUAGAACCUUACCUGGGUUUGACAUGGAUCGGGAGCGCUCAGAGAUGGGUGUGCCUCUUUUGGGGUCGGUUCACAGGUGGUGCAUGGCUGUCGUCAGCUCGUGUCGUGAGAUGUUGGGUUAAGUCCCGCAACGAGCGCAACCCUUGUUCACUGUUGCCAGCACGUUAUGGUGGGGACUCAGUGGAGACCGCCGGGGUCAACUCGGAGGAAGGUGGGGAUGACGUCAAGUCAUCAUGCCCCUUAUGUCCAGGGCUUCACGCAUGCUACAAUGGCUGGUACAGAGAGUGGCGAGCCUGUGAGGGUGAGCGAAUCUCGGAAAGCCGGUCUCAGUUCGGAUUGGGGUCUGCAACUCGACCUCAUGAAGUCGGAGUCGCUAGUAAUCGCAGAUCAGCAACGCUUCGGUGAAUACGUUCCCGGGGCU